GAUGAAGAACGUAGCGAAAUGCGAUAAGUAAUGUGAAUUGCAGAAUUCAGUGAAUCAUCGAAUCUUUGAACGCACCUUGCACCCUUUGGCAUUCCGAAGGGUAUGCUCGUUUGAGUGUCAUUGUACUCUCACGCUCCCGAUCUUUGGAUCGGGAGUGGUGGACUUGGGUGUUGCUGCUUUACCGUGGCUCACCUCAAAUGGAUUCGUGCAACUCCUGGUUGGACAUAGUACGGCGUGAUAAGUGUCUUCGCCGGCACCUCACUAGAGGGUGGCUGACCGGGAGCUCUGUGCUUCAAACCGUCUUCGGACAACAACUGACAACUUGACCUCAAAUCGAGUAGGACCACCCGCUGAACUUAAGCAUAUCAAUAAGCGGAGGA
rnacentral:misc_RNA from 1 species